rnacentral:rRNA from 1 species
UACGAGGGGGGCGAGCGUUGUUCGGAAUUAUUGGGCGUAAAGGGCGCGUAGGCGGCGCGGAUAGUCGGCGGUGAAAGCCCGGAGCUCAACUCCGGGUCGGCCGUCGAUACUUCCGGGCUUGAGCACUGUAGAGGCAGAUGGAAUUCCGGGUGUAGCGGUGGAAUGCGUAGAGAUCCGGAAGAACACCGGUGGCGAAGGCGGUCUGCUGGGCAGUUGCUGACGCUGAGGAGCGAAAGCGUGGGGAGCGAACAGG